AUGCCGGCGGCGGGCUCGGAGGGGGAGGAGGGCCCAGCGGGGGCCGGCGGGGAGGGCGCGGGGCCCGGCGGCGGCCCGGCGGGGGAGCAGGCCGGCCCCGGCACCCCCAAGCUCUGCGGGUACCUGCAGAAGCUGUCGGGCAAGGGCCCCCUGCGCGGCUUCCGCAGCCGCUGGUUCGUCUUCGACCCCCGCCGCUGCUACCUCUAUUACUUCAAGGGGCCGCAGGAGGCGCUGCCCCUCGGGCACCUCGACAUCGCCUCCGCCUGCUUCAGCUACCACCAGCCCGAAGCCGGCGCCGCCGCCGCGGGGGACGAGGCCGCCGCCUUCGAGGUGCACAGCCCCAACGGGGCCGUCGCGGUGCUCAAGGCUGCAACUCGUCAGGAUAUGACGUACUGGCUUCAGGAGCUUCAACAGAAGAGGUGGGAAUAUUGUAACAACCUUGACGCAGCAAAAAGGGACAGCCGAACUUCCCCUACACCAAGUGACUUUUCCAAAGGUCUUGUUGCCAAAGACAACCCUGAUUUGAGUAUCCUAAGUCAAAAUGCUUCAGCAGAGAGAGCUAGAAAUAUUCUAGCUGUGGAGACUUCUCCUACAGACCUGGUGGGGGAACAAGCAGCUUCCCAACCUGCACCAGUCCAACCAAGCGCUAUCAAUUUCUCGCUAAAACAGUGGAGUACUGAAAUCAAAAAUUCAAUGUCCUCUUUAAGAAAAGGAAAUAACGAAAACCGCAAGAGCAUAUUUUAUACCACUGAAGAGUGGGAAUUGCUGGAUCCAACCCCAAAAGACUUAGAGGACUCGAUGGCCCUGGAAGAAAAGAGGAAACACCUGGCAGAAGGAAGUAAAGGACUGACUAGUUCAGCUUUUCCAUUCGAUUUUGGCCGCAUUCCACACAAAACAAGGCGCCCGUUAAAAGACAUGAUUGGAUCAAGCAAAAACCGGAACAGCACUGAGUCUUCUCCAACUGAGUGGUAUUCUGGUAAUGGCAACAAACUAGUUUCUGAGCUGCAACUGAAGUAUCAAAGCCAGCAAGAAGAGUUGGAAAAGCUGAAGAAAGAUCUUUUGAGCCAAAAGGAACUUGUGCGACUUCUGCAGCAAACAGUCCGAUCUUCCCAGUAUGAUAAAUAUUUUGCAAGCCGUCUUUGUGAGGGGGUUCCCAAAGACAAAUUAGAGCUGUUGCACCAAAAAGAUGACCAGAUUUUGGGUCUCAACAACCAGCUUGAAAAGUUAAAUCUGGAAAAAGAUAGCCUCCAGCAAGAAGUAAAGAAUCUGAAAUGUAAAGUUGGAGAACUCAAUGAGCAGCUGGGUAUGUUGAUGGAAACUAUUCAAGCUAAAGAUGAAGUGAUCAUGAAACUCUCUCGUCAACUCAGCGAAUGUGAGGACAAUACAUCUUCUCAAAGUGGAGCAGUAAAUUCUUCCGUGGCCACCUGUACUAAUAAGGAACUACAGGAACUGGACAGACUAAAAGACAAUCUUCAGGGUUAUAAGACCCAGAAUAAAUUUUUAAAUAAGGAGAUUUUGGAACUUUCUGCUCUACGAAGAAAUGCAGAAGCAAGAGAGAGAGAAUGGCAGGCAAAGUAUACUAGCUUGGAAGCCAAACUCUGUCAGAUAGAAAGUAAAUACUUGAUCUUGCUUCAAGAAAUGAAAACUCCUGUUUGUUCUGAGGAGCAGAGUCCUGCUCGUGAGGUUAUCACACAGUUACUGGAAGAUGCCUUGAAAGCAGAAACUAGUGAACAACCAGAACAAGCGUUUUUCAAACUGCACCUGGUCAGUGAAUAUGAUAUAUAUGGUUUUCAGACAGUCCCAGAGGAUGAUGACGAGGAGAAACUAGUAGCAAAAUCACGAGCUUUGGACCUGAGAUCGCUUUCUCUCAGCGAAAAUCGAGAGAUCUCCACAGGAGUAAAAUGGGAAAACUAUCUUGCAAGCACAAUGAAUAGAGAGAUGAUGCGCUGUGUAGAACUAAAGAAUCUUAUUCGAUCUGGAAUUCCACAUGAACAUCGUUCCAAGAUGUGGAAAUGGUGUGUCAAUCUCCAUGUUAAAAAAUUCAAGGACAGCACUGUUCCUGGGUAUUUCCAAACCUUGCUUCAAAAUGCUCUGGAAAAACAAAAUCCUGCAUCUAAACAAAUUGAGUUGGAUCUCCUGAGAACUUUGCCAAACAACAAACAUUAUUCAUCCCCAACAUCUGAAGGGAUCCAGAAGCUGCGAAAUGUGCUGCUUGCAUUUUCGUGGAGAAAUCCUGAUAUAGGAUAUUGCCAAGGGCUCAACAGAUUGGUGGCGAUUGCACUUCUGUACUUGGAACAGGAAGAUGCUUUUUGGUGUCUAGUAACAAUAGUGGAAGUUUUCAUGCCUCGUGAUUAUUAUACUAAGACACUGCUAGGAUCUCAGGUUGAUCAGCGAGUAUUCAAGGAUUUAAUGAGUGAGAAGCUUCCACGACUGCAUGCUCAUUUUGAACAAUACAAUGUUGACUAUACUCUUAUAACUUUCAACUGGUUUCUUGUGGUAUUUGUGGACAGUGUGGUUAGCGACAUCCUUUUUAAAAUCUGGGACUCCUUCCUAUAUGAGGGACCAAAGGUAAUAUUCCGAUUUGCCCUGGCACUUUUUAAAUACAAAGAAGAGGAAAUCUUAAAACUGCAAGAUUCAAUGUCCAUUUUCAAGUACCUUCGAUAUUUCACACGCACUAUACUUGAUGCUAGGAAACUGACUGGUAUUGCUUUUGGAGACCUGAAUCCCUUUCCAUUACGUCAGAUCAGAAACCGGAGGACCUAUCACCUGGAGAAAGUGCGUCUUGAACUAACUGAACUAGAAGCCAUUCGUGAGGAUUUCCUGCGUGAACGAGAGACGUGUGUAGAAAAAAGAGACCUUAUUAGUGAUGAUGAGGAGGAUAGUUGAAACUACUCAACAUAACUUUUCUUUGGAAUCGUGACCAAAGUGAGUUAACCCCCAAAACACUUUAUUAAUCCUGUCAAACAGAAUGUAAACUAGUUGCUUUUGGAAAUAUGCAGGACAGAUUUCCAAACCCCAGCACUUUCAGAAAUAUUGCUUUGUAUGGAGGCCAAACACUUCUGUUUACAUUUAUGUUCAUGGAAUUGUAUGUAGAGCACUUAAUAUCUGUCUCAGUUUAGUCAAUCAGCUGAAUUGCCAGUUUUCCCGCAGUGCACUGUUAGUGCCUGUAUGUGAAACAGUAGUAAGAAAAGUCCACGCUCUGUUUACUCCAUUCAUUGCCAUUCUGCAUUAUUUUUUACAUAAUCAUGGUUUUUGUAGUGCACGUUCAGUGUGGGAGGACAUCAUAUUUUCUGGUUUCAGGUUGGUUCAAUAAAUGGCUUUCAUCAUGUUGUCCUUGAAUAAACUAGCCAUUCUCGAGGUCACAAACUAGAAAAGUAUGGAAUGAAGCACAGGAAGAACUUUCACAUUCCUUUGUCUUUUCCUGAAGUGACAUGAAAUGGAUCAUCAAACAGAACACUUGAAUAUAUGUACUUAAAGUAAAGUGUUAAAUGAAAUCUUUCUAAGCUGAAGAUCUUCCUUCCAGUGGCAACAGUUGAAAUGUUAAGGUGAAGAAUUUAGAAGUAUGUACCUACCCUAUUCCUACAAGUCUACUAUCCCUGGGUUUUGAGUCUUCACUAUGAACUAGUCCUAUGACUUUAGGAGAUGUUUUCAGACUGAUUUCAUUGAAGUCUUUAGGUUGUGAAGAUAAAACUAACUUUAGGACAACUGUUCAGGAAGUUCUCUAGCUGACAAAACAUGACCUGCAAUGUUACAGGACCAUUUCUUUUUCACAGUUGUGCUGAUGGUUAAAUUUAUGUGUGUGUGUUGCUGUGUUUCAUUAUAUAAGUUGUUACCCACUUGUACAGUAAAACUAAGUAGCUCUGUUUCUUAUGCCACUAUGUGAAUCUAAUACAUGAAUGUUAGGAAGCUUAUGGAAAUCAUGUUGUCUCUGGGUAUUUUGUUAGCUUGCAAAUACGAAAUGAGUUGAUGCUGUUACACUCAAGUUCCCAGCGAGCUAUUGGCUUCAUUUUGUUAAGUAUUGUUACUGAUGCCUUAGUUACAAGGUCAAAAAUUGCAGAGGCAUCUAACCUCUGACCACUAGAAGUCUACAUAGAACAAAAAUGAGAUGCAUAUAGCAGGAAGCAACGUCAGAGGAAGCUUGCCUUGCUGUUGCAAAUGUCUUUGGGUGACUAUUAGUUUUCUAGUGGUGCUUAAUCUGGUAACUUUGAAGAGGCGUAACUAGUUAGGGACCUGCAAGAUACACAGGCAGUAUUUAAACCUAGUGACACCAAGGAAAAAUACGGUGUGACUCAGUGGCCUGCAAAAGCUGAACUGCAUAGAUACCAAGUGUUUCUAUUUAGGGGUAAACUUCUGAAGCAGUGCAUGAGGAUUUAACAUUCAUGCCAGCCACUUCAUAGGAAAUCGACCUGUUAAUGCAAAUAAAGACUGCUAAGACUAUUUUUUAACUUCAAGGUCAUGCACAUAUGUGCAAAGAGUUCCUUAUGCAUGGUUCCCGGUAUACGUGAUGUAAACCAAACCACUAAGUUGCUUCUUGCAGGAUAUUCCUCCAUCUUCAUACACGUAUGCAUGGCUUUCCAGUGAAACUUCUAGUUACUUCUUUAAAAAGUUCUAUUAGCUUCUGUUAAAUAGGCAAAAAAUUGGUGCACUACACCUCUAGCUAUUAAAACUGCACAGUAUUUCAGCUUUACCUGUACAUGUGUACAGGUAGUGUUAUCAUCCAGUGUUAUCAGAUUGUUUGGUGGGGUUUUUUUACCAGCUAUGUACAAUAAAAAGGAUUUUUUGUUGCCCUUUAGGUGUCUUCUGUGAGAGAUUCUCCCCUUCCCCUCAGUCUUUGUAAACAUGGUAAGAUAUUUCAGCAGAAAGGGAAAGAUUUUCUUCCUUGAGACAUCAGGAAUGAAUGAAUGGUCUUAAAUUUGACAGAGUUGUAUGUUCAGUCAUGCUUAACUGAGAAAUGGAAAAUUAAUCAAUUUCAUGAAAUUGUGUAGCUGUUUAAGUGAAUGUUUCCUUAAGUGCCAUGUUAGAAAUCAGCAAUAUGCGGUACAAGAAAUUUGAAUCACAAAACAUGUUAUUUUCAUAAAGAUUGAUGUAAAGACAAAAUAAAUUGUUUAUUACUUUA